CCUACGGGUGGCAGCAGUGGGGAAUAUUGGACAAUGGGGGGAACCCUGAUCCAGCCAUGCCGCGUGUGUGAAGAAGGCCCUCGGGUUGUAAAGCACUUUCAGUGAGGAAGAACGCCUGGUGGUUAAUACCCAUCAGGAAAGACAUCACUCACAGAAGAAGCACCGGCUAACUCCGUGCCAGCAGCCGCGGUAAUACGGAGGGUGCGAGCGUUAAUCGGAAUUACUGGGCGUAAAGCGCGCGUAGGUGGCUUGAUAAGCCGGUUGUGAAAGCCCCGGGCUCAACCUGGGAACGGCAUCCGGAACUGUCAAGCUAGAGUGCAGGAGAGGAAGGUAGAAUUCCCGGUGUAGCGGUGAAAUGCGUAGAGAUCGGGAGGAAUACCAGUGGCGAAGGCGGCCUUCUGGACUGACACUGACACUGAGGUGCGAGAGCGUGGGUAGCAAACAGGAUUAGAUACCCGAGUAGUC
rnacentral:rRNA from 1 species